GCCACGGUAAGUGAAAACUGUAAUAAUGGGAAAAUUAUCAAAAUGCCCCUAAAGGCGAAGAUGACCAAAAUACCCCUAUGUGUUAAAUGUAGGUUUUAUGGAUAUGACAUGCAUAUCUGUUGCAUACAUAUGAUAUUCUGCUUAGGUUGCAUAUGGGUUGAGAAAUAUGGAAUGGAGAAAGUAUAUGAGGAUCGCAUGGUUGCUUGACAAUCAUG
rnacentral:lncRNA from 1 species